GUGGGGAAGUGAGAGGGCAAGGGAAUGACGGGGCAGUGAAGGGGUGGAGAAUCACGGGAGGAUCAUAUAAGCUUGGAACCAUGGCAGACUGAGACAAGAACUUGAGAACUGUCUCUGUGAGGGAGCUGCGUGCGUGAGCUGAUUUGGGAGCACACGGGAGUUCAGCGUGUAUGGAAUCUGGCAAAUAAAAUGACUAAACAAAGCGAGCAGCCACUGAUCUUCAAAGAUGAACAUCAAAGAAAACACUAGAAGAUUUUGUCCUCCACGCCCCGCCCCCCAGGGGUGGAUGAGGUUGCAUCAGUUCACACUAACAACGGCUUUGUAAACCCAAAUGCUGACAAAGGGGAGCGGAAGAACGAGACAAGAAAGUAAUUAGAAAAAGAUAGAAAAACCAUCUGGCAAACUUUUAUAGAGAAAACACGAGGAAGGCAACGAUCCCACAGAUCCCAGUUUGUAAACUCCGACGAUGCUUUGUGAGCGAGCAACCUACAAAGAGGCUAUGGCAUAAGGGAAGGCGAGCAGAAAGCGUAAUGGUGAGACCCUGAAGUGCGUUCAAAGCAGAAGCCAUUAAAGAUGAGAAGGAGACCACUUAAAAUGGGCAAAAUGUGGCCUGUGAAGAACAUUUAAUGGGAGUAAGGUCUUACGUGUCAACCCAGAAAUGCACGUGUACACAGCAAAAAGUUUCCGUAUUUAUAAAUAUUUAAAAC
rnacentral:lncRNA from 1 species